CUAAAAGUACAGCAGGCUUUAAGUAUAUGCAACGUUAAAGUCUUCUCUACUUUUAGUU
rnacentral:pre_miRNA from 1 species